rnacentral:rRNA from 1 species
AAACUUAAUAAGUAAAACUUUCAACAACGGAUCUCUUGGCUCUGGCAUCGAUGAAGAACGCAGCGAAAUGCGAUAAGUAAUGUGAAUUGCAGAAUUUAGUGAAUCAUCGAAUCUUUGAACGCACAUUGCGCCCCCCGGUAUUCCGAGGGGCAUGCCUGUUCGAGCGUC